AAGUUGAUACAACUUCAGAAAUCUCAAUGGAAGGGUAAGAAGAAUUGCAAAACCAACCCUUGGAGAAUUGGCUUUGAGUAGGACACUCAGGAUGACUCAAGGAAGGCUAACUAUCUCCCUCUGUAUAAGCAGAAAAGAAUGCAGGCUAACUAUCUCCCUCUGUAUAAGCAGAAAAGAAUGCAAGCUAACUAUCUCCCUCUGUAUAAGCAGAAAAGAAUGCAGAUGGUACUAAGAAAGUAAUUGAAGCUGUUGGCGAGAUGAAAACCGACACUGAAGUUUUACUCUCAAUU
rnacentral:lncRNA from 1 species